rnacentral:rRNA from 1 species
AAUGAACGCUGGCGGCGCGCCUAAUACAUGCAAGUCGAGCGAGAAGACGUAGCAAUACGUUUGUAAAGCGGCGAACGGGUGAGGAAUACAUGGGUAACCUACCCUCGAGUGGGGAAUAACUAGCCGAAAGGUUAGCUAAUACCGCGUACGCUCCUUGGACUUCGGUUCAGGGAGGAAGCGAUACCGUGGUAUCGCGCUCUUGGUGGGCUCAUGUCCUAUCAGCUUGUUGGUGAGGAACGCUCACCAAGGCUUCGACGGGUAGCUGGUCUGAGAGGACGAUCAGCCACACUGGCACUGCGACACGGGCCAG